rnacentral:rRNA from 1 species
GUGAAUCAUCGAAUCUUUGAACGCACAUUGCGCCCUUUGGUAUUCCGAAGGGCAUGCCUGUUCGAGCGUCAUUAUCACCCCUCAAGCUCCGGCUUGGUGUUGGGCCUGGUCUUUCAGUAGACCGGCCUCAAAGAUAGUGACGGCGUCCCAGAUGGAACCGGUACGAGGAGCUUCUAAUCAAGCAUGUACGCGGCGUGAAUCUGCGGGCGGCGGUCUUUAACCACUACUCUUCGGAGUACUUUUUUAAGUUGUUGACCUCGGAUCAGGUAGGGAUACCCGCUGAACUUAAGCAUAUCAAUAAGCGGAGG